rnacentral:lncRNA from 1 species
CAGGGAGGGUGGUUUUGGGGGCAGGAAGGCUGUGGGGAGGGUAUGGCUGAGUGGAUGGAGCAGCCUUAGUCACCGGGAGCAGCUCAGCUACGGGCGAUAACCCCAGGAGGUGGUAGGUGUCUGCUUGUGCUAACUCUUGUGCAACUGGCCUGGCCAAACGGGUGCCUUUCAGGCUGCCCUUGACCAAACUGUAUCCGGUUUAUGGGCAAAAGAGGAAAACAAACCAAAAAAAAUUAAAAAAAAAAAUCAAAUCUCGUGUACCUCGCACAUGGCCUCCUGAGCUGUGCUCUUGGCUCCCAGUGGUGGGUUUUGAACUUGGUAGGUUGUUGAGCCUUUGUGUGCUUUGGUAUCUCCAUCUAUGAACUAGAGAUAACAGUUGGCUUCAUGCAGGGAUUAAUUAUCGCAUCUUGUAGUCACGUAUUUGUUUAUUUGUUUUUACUGUAGAUUACAGCUGGAGGAAUUCUAAACAGUCCACCUCUCCUUGUCAUGGUGUUUAAGCGCAUUGUGCUCCUGUCUGAACAGAGGAAAUCACUGAGUCUUUUCUCUCGCACGCUAAAGCAUACCUCGGGUAUCCUGCUCUUCCAUCAGUCUCAAACCUCGUCGCUGCUCCUUGUCUUCAGCUGAAAAUGGACUGACACCAUUUGUGUGUCAGUCCUGAAUGUCCUGA